GAUACGUCUCCAUCGUAUCUAUAAUUUUUGAUUGCUCCAUGCUAUAUUAUCUACUAUUCUGGACUAUAUUGGGCUUUAUUUUCCACUUUUAUAUUAUUUUUGGGACUAACCUAUUAAUCGGAGGAACCCAGAAUUGCUGUUUUUUUGCCUAUUUUAGUGUUUCGAAGAAACGGAAUAUCAAACGGAGUCCAAACGGAAUGAAACUUCGGGAACGUAAUUUUCUCACUGAAUAUGACCCAGGAGACUUGGACCCUACGCCAAGGAUGCUUCGAGGUGGGCAUGAGGUAGGGGGACGCGCCAUAUACCCCCAGGCGCGCCCCCACCCUCGUGCGCCCACUGAAGCUCCACCGACGUACUUCUUCCUCCUAUAUAUACCUACGUACCCCCAAACAAAUAGAUACGGAGCCAAAAACCUAAUUUCACCGCCGCAACUUUCUGUAUCCACGAGAUCUCAUCUUGGGGCCUGUUCCGGAGCUCCGCCGGAGAGGGCCGUCAUCUCGGAGGGCUUCUACAUCAUCAUAGCCUCUCCGAUGAAGUGUGAGUAGUUUACCUCAGACCUUCGGGUCCAUAGUUAGUAGCUAGAUGGCUUCUUCUCCCUUUUUGGAUCUCAAUACAAAGUUCUCCCCCUCUCUCAUGGAGAUCUAUUCGAUGUAAUCUUCUUCUUUUUGCGGUGUGUUUGUUGAGACCGAUGAAUUGUGGGUUUAUGAUCAAGUCUAUCUAUGAAUAAUAUUUGAAUCUUCUCUGAAUUCUUUUAUGUAUGAUUGGUUAUCUUUGCAAGUCUCUUCGAAUUAUCAGUUUGGUUUGGCCUAUUAGAUUGGUUUUUCUUGCCAUGGGAGAAGUGCUUAGCUUUGGGUUCGAUCUUGCGGUGUCCUUUCCCAGUGACAGAAGGGGCAGCAAGGCACGUAUUGUAUCGUUGCCAUCGAGGAUAACAAGAUGGGGUUUAUUUCAUAUUGCAUGAAUUUAUCUCUCUACAUCAUGUCAUCUUGCUUAAAGCGUUACUCUGUUUUUAACUUAAUAUUCUAGAUGCAUGCUGGAUAGUGGUCGAUGAGUGGAGUAAUAGUAGUAGAUGCAGAAUCGUUUCGGUCUACUUGUCGUGGACGUGAUGCCUAUAUACAUGAUCAUGCCUAGAUAUUCUCAUAACUAUGCUCAAUUCUGUCAAUUGCUCAACAGUAAUUUGUUCACCCACCGUAGAAUACUUAUGCUCUUGAGAGAAGCCACUAGUGAAACCUAUGGCCCCCGGGUCUAUUCUCAUCAUAUCAACCUCCAUCACUUUAAUCUUGCUUUUGCUUUUUUACUUUGCCUUUUACUUUUCACUUUGCAUCUCUAUACCAAAAAUACCAAAAAUACUAUCUAUCAGAUCUCACUCUCGUAAGUGACCGUGAAGGGAUUGACAACCCCUAAUCGCGUUGGUUGCGAGUAGCUAUCGUUUUGUGCAGGUACAAGGGACUUGAGUGUGGCCUCCUACUGGAUUGAUACCUUGGUUCUCAAAAACUAAGGGAAAUACUUACGCUACUCUGCUGCAUCAUCCUCUCCUCUUCGGGGAAAACCAACACAAGCUCAAGAGGUAGCAAGAAGAAUUGCUGGCGCCGUUGCCGGGGAGUCUACGCAAAAAGUCAACAUACCAAGUACCCAUCACAAUCCCUAUCUCUCGCAUUACAUUAGUUGCCAUUUGCCUCUCGUUUUCCUCUCCCCCACUUCACCCUUGCCGUUUUAUUCGCCCUCUCUUUCUCCUUCUCCUUCGCCUCCUCCUUUCUUCGUUUGCCUUUUUCUCGCUUGCCUUUUGUUUGCUCGUGUGUUGGAUUGCUUGUUUGUCGCGAUGGCUCAAGAUACUACCAAAUUGUGUGACUUCACCAAUACCAAUAAUAAUGAUUUCCUUAGCACUCCGAUUGCUCCUCUUGCCAAUACUGAAUCUUGUGAAAUCAAUACUGCCUUGUUGAAUCUUGUUAUGAAAGAUCAAUUUGCCGGCCUUCCUAGUGAAGAUGCCGCUACUCAUAUGAAUAGCUUCGCUGAUUUAUGUGAUAUGCAAAAGAAAAAAGAUGUCAAUAAUGAUGUCGUUAAAUUGAAGCUAUUUCCUUUUUCGCUUAGAGAUCGUGCUAAAGCUUGGUUUUCGUCUUUGCCUAAAAAUAGUAUUGAUUCUUGGAACAAGUGCAAAGAUGCUUUUAUCUCUAAGUAUUUUCCUCCCGCUAAGAUCAUCUCUCUUAGAAACGAUAUUAUGAAUUUUAAGCAACUUGAUCAUGAACAUGUUGCACAAGCUUGGGAGAGAAUGAAAUUAAUGAUACGUAAUUGCCCUACUCAUGGUUUAAAUUUGUGGAUGAUUAUACAAAAAAUUAUGUCGGAUUGAAUUUUGCUUCUAGAAAUCUUUUAGAUUCGGCCGCGGGAGGCACUUUUAUGGAAAUCACUUUAGGAGAUGCUACUAAACUCCUAGAUAAUAUUAUGGUUAAUUAUUCUCAAUGGCAUACUGAAAGAUCUUCUAAUAAAAAAGUGCAUGCGAUAGAAGAAAUCAAUGUUUUGAGUGGAAAGAUGGAUGAACUUGAAAUUAUUUGCUACUAAGAGUGUUUCUUCUGAUCCUAAUGAUAUGCCUUUGUCUACUUUGAUUGAGAACAACAAUGAAUCUAUGGAUGUGAAUUUUGUUGGUAGGAAUAAUUUUGGUAACAAUGCGUACACAGGGAAUUUUAAUCCUAGGCCUUAUCCUAGUAAUCCUUCUAAUAAUUAUGGAAAUUCCUACAACAACUCUUAUGGAAAUUAUAAUAAGAUGCCCUCUGAAUUUGAGAAUAGUGUUAAAGAGUUUAUGAAUUCACAAAAGAAUUUUAAUGCUUUGCUUGAAGAGAAAAUUACUUAAAGUUGAUGAUUUGGCUAGGAACGUUGAUAGAAUUUCUCUUGAGAUUGAUUCUUUAAAGCUUAGAUCUAUUCCUCCCAAGCAUGAUAUCAAUGAGUCUCUCAAAGCCAUGAGAAUUUCCAUUGACGAGUGCAAGGAAAGAACCGCUACGAUGCGUGCUUCCAAAGAUGCCUUUAUUAAAGCGUGUUCUUCCAAUUCCCAUGAAAAUCAAGAUGAAGAUCUAAAAGUUAUUGAUGUGUCCCCUAUCAAAUCUUUGUUUUGCAAUAUGAAUCUUGAUGAAACUGAAUAUGAUCUUCCUUCACCUAGAAGGCGUUCCAAAAAUUCGGAGUAUUUAGAUCUCUAUGAUGAAAUUGAUGAAAGUGGGAUUGAAAGAAAUAAAAAUCUAGAUGUUGCUAAACCCACUAUAUUGGAUUUCAAGGAAUUUAAUUAUGAAAGUUGCUCUUUAAUUGAUUGUAUUUCCUUGUUGCAAUCCGUGCUAAAUUCUCCACAUGCUUAUAGUCAAAAGAAAGCCUUUACCGAACAUAUCGUUGAUGCCUUGAUGCAAUCUUAUGAAGAAAAGCUUGAGUUGAAAGUUUCUAUCCCUAGAAAACUCUAUGAUGAGUGGGAACCAACUAUUAAAAUUAAAAUUAAAGAUCAUGAGUUUUAUGCUUUGUGUGAUUUGGGUGCUAGUGUUUCCACUAUCCCCAAAACUUUGUGUGAUUUGCUAGAUUUCCGCGAUUUUGAUGAUUGCUCUCUAAACUUGCAUCUUGCAGAUUCCACUAUUAAGAAACCUAUGGGAGGAAUUAAUGAUGUUCUUAUUGUUGCAAAUAGGAAUUAUGUGCCCGUAGAUUUCAUUGUUCUUGAUAUAGAUUGCAAUCCUUCUUGCCCUAUUAUUCUUGGUAGACCUUUCCUUAGAAUGGUUGGUGUGAUUAUUGAUAUGAAGGAAGGGAAUAUUAGAUUUCAAUUUCCAUUAAAAAAGGGCAUGGAACACUUUCCUAGAAAGAAAAUAAAAUUUCCAUAUGGAACCAUCAUGAGAGCCACUUAUGGAUUGCCUACCAAAGAUGGCAAUACCAAGAUCUAUCCUCGCUUUUAUGCCUAGCUAGGGGCGUUAAACGAUAGCGCUUGUUGGGAGGCAACCCAAUUUUAUUUUUAGUUUUUUGUGUUUUUCCUCUGUUAGGGAAUAAAUAACCCAUCUAACUUCUGUUUGGAUGUGGUUUUGUGUUUUAAUUAGUGUUUGUGCCAAGUUAGACCUAUUGGAUCUUCUUGGAUGAUAGUUAUUUGAUCUUGCUGUAAUUUCCAGAAACUUUGCGUUCAGUGACCGAAUUAUUAAAAAUCAUCAGAAUGUGAUAAAAUACUUAUUCCAAUUUCUGCUGAUCAAUAAACAAAUUUUCUAGGUCGUCCAAUUUUGGUAGAUUUUUUGGAGUCCAGAAGUUUGCGUUAGUUACAGAUUACUACAGACUGUUCUGUUUUUGACAGAUUCUGUUUUUCGUGUGUUGUUUGCUUAUUUUGAUGAAUCUAUGGCUAGUAAAAUAGUUUAUAAUCCACAUAAAAGUUGGAAUACAGUAGGUUUAACACCAAUAUAAAUAAAGAAUGAGUUCAUUACAGUACCUUGAAGUGGUCUUUUGUUUUCUUUCUCUAACGGAGCUCACGAGAUUUGUAUUGAGUUUUGUGUUGUGAAGUUUUCAAGUUUUGGGUGAAUUCUUUUGAUGGAUUAUGGAACAAGGAGUGGCAAGAGCCUAAGCUUGGGGAUGCCCAUGGGACCCCCAAGAUAAUCCAAGGACACCAAAAAGUCAAAGCUUGGGGAUGCCCCGGAAGGCAUCCCCUCUUUCGUCUACUUCCAUCGGUAAUUUACUUGGAGCUAUAUUUUUAUUCAUCAACAUGAUAUGUGUUUUGCUUGGAGCGUCUUGUAUUAUUUGUGUCUUUGUUUGCUAGUGUGCCACAAUCAUCCUUGAUGUACACACCUUUUGAGAGAGCCAUACAUGAAUUAGAAUUUGAUAGAAUACUCUAUGUGCUUCACUUAUAUCUUUUGAGCUAUGUAGUUUUGCUCUAUGUGCUUCACUUAUAUCUUUUGAGCGUUAUAAUUUUGCUCUAUGUGCUUCACUUAGAUCUUUAGAGCACGGUGGUGUAUUUGUUUUAAACAAACUAUUGAUCUCUCAUGCUUCACUUAAAUUAUUUUGAGAGUCUUAAUAGCAUGGUAAUUUGCUUAAUAAUAACAUGCUUGGUAUUCAAGAUUUGUUGAACUUUCUUUUGAGUGCGUUGAAUACUAAGAAAAGUUGGAUGCUAGAUAAUUGUUUUGAGAUAUGGAGGUAGUAAUAUCAAAGUCAUGCUAGUAGAGUAAUUGUGAAUUUGAGAAGUGCUUGAGUUAAAGUUUGCAAGUCCCGUAGCAUGCACGUAUGGUAAACGUUAUGCAACAAAUUUGAAACAUGAGGUGUUAUUUGAUUGUCCUCCUUAUGAGUGGUGGUCGGGGACGAACGAUGGUCUUUUCCUACCAAUCUAUCCCCGUAGGAGAAUGCACGUAAUGCUUUGGUUUUUGAUGGCUUGUAGAUUUUUGCAAUAAGUAUAUGAGUUCUUUAUGACUAAUGUUGAGUCCAUGGAUUAUACGCACUCUCACCCUUCCAUCAUUGCUAGCCUCUACGGUACCGUGCAUUGCCAUUUCUCACAUCGAGAGUUGGUGCAAACUUCGCUGGUGCAUCCAAACCCCGUGAUAUGAUAUGCUCUUUCACACAUAAACCUCCUUAUAUCUUCCUCAAAACAGCCACCAUACCUACCUAUUAUGACAUUUCCAUAGCCAUUCCGAGAUAUAUUGCCAUGCAACUUUCCACCAUCUAGUUUAUCAUGACACAUUCAUCAUUGUCAUAUUUCUAGCAUGAUCAUGUAGUUGACAUAGUAUUUGUGGCAAAGCCACCGUUCAUAAUUCUUUCAUACUUGUCACUCUUGAUUCAUUGCAUAUCCCGGUACACCGCUGGAGGCAUCCAUAUAGAGUCAUACUUUGUUCUAGUAUCGAGUUGUAAUCAUUGAAUUUUAAAUAAAUAGAAGUGUGAUGAUCAUCAUUCAAUAGAUCAUUGUCCCAAAAAAAGAGAAAGUCCAAAGAAAAAAAAAGGCCCAAAAAAAGAAAAUAAAUAAAAAGGGGCAAUGCUACUAUCCUUUUUUCCACACUUGUGCUUCAAAAUCUUCAUGAUAGAGAGUCUCGUGUUUUGUCACUUUCAUAUACUAGUGGGAAUUUUUCAUUAUAGAACUUGGCUUGUAUAUUCCAACAAUGGGCCUCCUCAAGUGCCCUAGGUCUUCGUGAGCAAGCAAGUUGGAUGCACACCCACUUAGUUUCUUUUGUUGAGCUUUCAUACAUUUAUAGCUCUAGUGCAUCCGUUGCAUGGCAAUCCCUACUCCUUGCAUUAACAUCAAUCGAUGGGCAUCUCCAUAGCCCAUUGAUUAGCCUUGUUGAUGUGAGACUUUCUCCUUUUUGUCUUCUCCACAUAACCCCCACCAUUAUAUUCUAUUCCACCCAUAGUGAUAUAUCCAUGGCUCACACUCAUGUAUUGCGUGAAAGUUUAUGAGUUUGAAAUUAUUAAGGUAUGAAACAAUUGCUUGGCUUGUCAUCGGGGUUGUGCAUGAUGAGAGCAUUCUUGUGUGAUGAAAAUGGAGCAUGACUAAACUAUAUGAUUUUGUAGGGAUGAACUUUCUUUGGCCAUGUUACUUUGAGAAAACAUAAUUGCUUUGUUGGUUUGCUUGAAGUAUUAUUAUUCUCUAUGUCAAUAUGAACUUUUGUCUUGAAUCUUUCUAAUCUGAAUAUUCAUACCACAAUUAAGAAAAUUUGCAUUGAAAUUAUGCCAAGUAGCACUCCGCAUCAAAAAUUCUCUUUUUAUCAUUUACCUACUCGAGGACGAGCAGGAAUUAAGCUUGGGGAUGCCUGAUACGUCUCCAACGUAUCUAUAAUUUUUUAUCGCUCCAUGCUAUAUUAUCUACUAUUUUGGACUAUAUUGGGCUUUAUUUUCCACUUUUAUAUUAUUUUUGGGACUAACCUAUUAACCGGAGGCCCAACCCAGAAUUGCUGUUUUUUUGCCUAUUUUAGUGUUUCGAAGAAACAGAAUAUCAAACGGAGUCCAAACGGAAUGAAACCUUCGGGAACGUGAUUUUCUCACCGAAUAUGAC
rnacentral:lncRNA from 1 species